UCCCUGGUGGCUCAGAGGUUAAAGCGUCUGCCUGCAAUGCGGGAGACCUGGGUUCGAUCCCUGGGUCGAGGAG
rnacentral:tRNA from 1 species